rnacentral:rRNA from 1 species
UGAGCUCGAUGAGUAGGGCGGGACACGUGGUAUCCUGUCUGAAUAUGGGGGGACCAUCCUCCAAGGCUAAAUACUCCUGACUGACCGAUAGUGAACCAGUACCGUGAGGGAAAGGCGAAAAGAACCCCGGCGAGGGGAGUGAAAAAGAACCUGAAACCGUGUACGUACAAGCAGUGGGAGCCCCACCACUAAGCCAGUGGUGAACUCCACAUACGCAUCCUUUGCUGAGGAUACGGUUAACGGAGCGAAAGCGACGUUCAACCUCAAAAGAAGCAGAGGGGGCUUAGUGGUGGGGUGACUGCGUACCUUUUGUAUAAUGGGUCAGCGACUUAUAUUCUGUAGCAAGGUUAACCGAAUAGGGGAGCCGUAGGGAAACCGAGUCUUAAUUGGGCGUUAAGUUGCAGGGUAUAGACCCGAAACCCGGUGAUCUAGCCAUGGGCAGGUUGAAGGUUGGGUAACACUAACUGGAGGACCGAACCGACUAAUGUUGAAAAAUUAGCGGAUGACCUGUGGCUGGGGGUGAAAGGCCAAUCAAACCGGGAGAUAGCUGGUUCUCCCCGAAAGCUAUUUAGGUAGCGCCUCGUGAAUUCAUCUCCGGGGGUAGAGCACUGUUUCGGCUAGGGGGCCAUCCCGGCUUACCAACCCGAUGCAAACUGCGAAUACCGGAGAAUGUUAUCACGGGAGACACACGGCGGGUGCUAACGUCCGUCGUGAAGAGGGAAACAACCCAGACCGCCAGCUAAGGUCCCAAAGUCAUGGUUAAGUGGGAAACGAUGUGGGAAGGCCCAGACAGCCAGGAUGUUGGCUUAGAAGCAGCCAUCAUUUAAAGAAAGCGUAAUAGCUCACUGGUCGAGUCGGCCUGCGCGGAAGAUGUAACGGGGCUAAACCAUGCACCGAAGCUGCGGCAGCGAACGUAUCACUUAAAGCGAUUCAGCGGGUUACGAUUGACGGAGCGAAGCGACGUCAAAGCGUAUACAAAGUCGAGUCGGUUUAAGGAUACGUUCGUUGGGUAGGGGAGCGUUCUGUAAGCCUGCGAAGGUGGCCUGUGAGGGUUGCUGGAGGUAUCAGAAGUGCGAAUGCUGACAUAAGUAACGAUAAAGCGGGUGAAAAGCCCGCUCGCCGGAAGACCAAGGGUUCCUGUCCAACGUUAAUCGGGGCAGGGUGAGUCGACCCCUAAGGCGAGGCCGAAAGGCGUAGUCGAUGGGAAACGGGUUAAUAUUCCCGUACUUGGUGUUACUGCGAAGGGGGGACGGAGAAGGCUAUGUUGGCCGGGCGACGGUUGUCCCGGUUUAAGCGUGUAGGUGUGUGUUCCAGGUAAAUCCGGUUCACUUUAACACUGAGGCGUGACGACGAGGCACUACGGUGCUGAAGCAACAAAUGCCCUGCUUCCAGGAAAAGCCUCUAAGCAUCAGGUAACAUCAAAUCGUACCCCAAACCGACACAGGUGGUCAGGUAGAGAAUACCAAGGCGCUUGAGAGAACUCGGGUGAAGGAACUAGGCAAAAUGGUGCCGUAACUUCGGGAGAAGGCACGCUGACACGUAGGUGAAGUGAUUUACUCAUGGAGCUGAAGUCAGUCGAAGAUACCAGCUGGCUGCAACUGUUUAUUAAAAACACAGCACUGUGCAAACACGAAAGUGGACGUAUACGGUGUGACGCCUGCCCGGUGCCGGAAGGUUAAUUGAUGGGGUCAGCGCAAGCGAAGCUCCUGAUCGAAGCCCCGGUAAACGGCGGCCGUAACUAUAACGGUCCUAAGGUAGCGAAAUUCCUUGUCGGGUAAGUUCCGACCUGCACGAAUGGCGUAAUGAUGGCCAGGCUGUCUCCACCCGAGACUCAGUGAAAUUGAACUCGCUGUGAAGAUGCAGUGUACCCGCGGCAAGACGGAAAGACCCCGUGAACCUUUACUAUAGCUUGACACUGAACAUUGAGCCUUGAUGUGUAGGAUAGGUGGGAGGCUUUGAAGUGUGGACGCCAGUCUGCAUGGAGCCGACCUUGAAAUACCACCCUUUAAUGUUUGAUGUUCUAACGUGGACCCGUAAUCCGGGUUGCGGACAGUGUCUGGUGGGUAGUUUGACUGGGGCGGUCUCCUCCUAAAGAGUAACGGAGGAGCACGAAGGUUGGCUAAUCCUGGUCGGACAUCAGGAGGUUAGUGCAAUGGCAUAAGCCAGCUUGACUGCGAGCGUGACGGCGCGAGCAGGUGCGAAAGCAGGUCAUAGUGAUCCGGUGGUUCUGAAUGGAAGGGCCAUCGCUCAACGGAUAAAAGGUACUCCGGGGAUAACAGGCUGAUACCGCCCAAGAGUUCAUAUCGACGGCGGUGUUUGGCACCUCGAUGUCGGCUCAUCACAUCCUGGGGCUGAAGUAGGUCCCAAGGGUAUGGCUGUUCGCCAUUUAAAGUGGUACGCGAGCUGGGUUUAGAACGUCGUGAGACAGUUCGGUCCCUAUCUGCCGUGGGCGCUGGAGAACUGAGGGGGGCUGCUCCUAGUACGAGAGGACCGGAGUGGACGCAUCACUGGUGUUCGGGUUGUCAUGCCAAUGGCACUGCCCGGUAGCUAAAUGCGGAAGAGAUAAGUGCUGAAAGCAUCUAAGCACGAAACUUGCCCCGAGAUGAGUUCUCCCUGAGACUUAGAGUCUCCUGAAGGAACGUUGAAGACGACGACGUUGAUAGGCCGGGUGUGUAAGCGCAGCGAUGCGUUGAGCUAACCGGUACUAAUGAACCGUGAGGCUUAACCUUACAACGCCGAAG